ensembl:lncRNA LINC02458 long intergenic non-protein coding RNA 2458
GGAACACUUGGUCACUGUGGCAGAAGGAAAGGAAAAAUGGUGAACCACUUCCUGGCUCGAAAAGCUUCUGUGUGGAAGUGACACACAUCUCUUCUGUCUACAUUUCAGAAGGGAUGGGGCCAGGGAUGCUGAGGACACACCAUGUACCCUUUUUCAGGCCAUAUCCAGUAACAGAGUCUACUGCAUCAUAUUAACUGAUAAACCCAGGAUGACAAGAGAAACAUGGGACUCACUCUUCAUUUGCAUUGACUCCAGCUAAGAGCUUCAGUUUUCAUGCUUUGCUUCAGAAUUAUUGUGGUCUGAUGCAGAACUGAAAAGGCCAACACGAGAAUCUUCAAGUACAAUUGCCUGGGAAUCCUGAGGUCUGGACAGCAACACCUGAAUCUGAAUCUCUUUUGGGUUGAAUCAUAAAAGAAAAUAGUAUGGAGAGAUUUAAGGCCAGGCCUCUGGAGAAGGAAUUGAUAAAAUAUGUGGUAGUACCUGCGCUACAGAACAGAAUUCACUUGGAAGUUCUUGGCAUAUAGUAAGCACUCAGUAACUGUCAGUUAUCGCUCUCAUCUCUAUGAAGACUGUAUUUGACAUGACAUCAUCUCCAUAAGAUUCCUGAACUCAACUUUAUUUCCUCUUUUUUCCUUUAACCCCAAUUUUCUAAUACCAAUUAGUAAGGUGGCUUCCUCUCCUUCUGGACUUGCUACUCCCAGAAGGAAAUUAAAUUACAAGUCUCUAAUUCCCUAGGCAUUCCCUUGUAGCCAAAGUCAUUAAUCAGUGGCUCAUAUUUAAAAAAAUUGCUCUAGGCCUCUGGAGACUCUUUCUAUGGCAUAAUAGAUUUUCAUUUGUUUCUCAUCCCCUGAGUAGCUUUUAAUUCAGGAUGGAUAUUUGCCCUGCAAUUUCUUUUAUUCCCUGGAUAAUUUGAAAAGCCAGGGGAACAGUGUCACUUUGUCUUAUCCCUUCCCUCUUUAUUAGUCAGUCUGUUCUAACAAAAUGUUGGUUGGUCCACGCUUUUCAUGGAAUGUCAUGGUUAACUGAUAAGCUGCCCCCAAACUCGGUAUCCUGGUUUAAUGUUAUAAUCAUAAUGCCCUCUGAGAUCACUUAGAGAAAAGCUGAGGGUAGCAACUCUGUGGAUUCUUAUUUACCUUAUGCGUUUGACAUCUGCAAUGAUGUGCUUCUUUACCACCUCCCUCAUCAAAUUAAACUAAGAAUGAAAACAGAUGGGCUGGGAAGCCAGUGGAUCAAAAGAAGGACCUGGGGGAAGCUCAGCUUGGGGACCGGCUUGCUCUUUGCCCUCACUAUUUGUCAACUGGGAAUCUCCUGGGUGCUCAGCUGUGCUGGAAUCUCAGAUGAGUAAAUUGAAGCCCAGAAAGGCCAAGAAACUUGAACCAUUUAGGUGAAGAAGAGUGCUCACCAGAUUCCCUUCUGGUCUGGAAAAAGAAAUCCCUUCUUUUGUGGAUGUCAUCUCUACCAUCUCUCGGUGAAAAAUAUUUCAAGAGAAUCCUAAGAUGGAGAGAGCAUUGGAAGUCAUCCGGCCCAAUUCCCUUGUGCAAUUCAAAGCUUCUUUGUAAGAAAAAUGCCCCCAGAAGUUUGUUUGCAUCAUGAAGAUCAGAUUUUGAGGAUCCAGUCUGGCUCUUCCCUGUACAAAACAUUCCUCACAAACAGAAUAUGGACAAUUGUUAAAUGUCAAAGGUAAAGUUAUUGUGGGAACUCCUUCAAAAAGUUCAAGUGAGAGCCCAUUCUAUGAAUGACCAUUUACAUCUAAUUUUUUUCUGUGCUAUGUUACUUAUUCUGAAGUGGUUGAUCCAAUUCCUAAAAGGGAAUAUUUCAUUACCUUUUAUUUCCUAUAGCAUCCAUUCUGACCCCUUUUCGGUUUAAUUAUUCCCUGAUUCCAGUCUUCAUUCACUCAUUUAUUUGAGGAAUAUUUAUUGACCAACAACUAUGCCAGGUCCCAUUCUAUGUGUAGGGACUAUAAAGUUGAACAAGACAGAGGAGGUACUGGCCUCAGAAUUUACAUUCUAGUAGAUGAGAAAGUAAAAAUAAACACAUGAAAACAUGAAUGAACCGGAUAUUGUAGACUGUGAUAGGUGUAGUUUGGGUAAAGCACAGAGUGCAGUAGUAAAGAUAAACUGCACUCAGAGUGGGGCUAUUUUAGAUGGAAUGGAGAUCUCUGAGGAAAUGAAAUUUGAGCUGAGACCUAAAAGGUCACCCAAGGACUCAUGGGAAAACUCAGUUGUUUCUAUCAAAAUUUAGCUUCAUGAACUCCAGGCCCUUGCAAAUGAUGGUUACCAGGUGAGAAAUGUCUCACUGGCAACAGAGGUUGGCAGACCCAGCUCCAGUUCCAUCCCAGCCAACAUACCAAUGUCAUUAAAAUAAGGCCAUUCAUCAAGGUGGAGACUAUUACUAGAAACAAGCAUUCUAAAGUGCCAUUUGAGUGCCAGGCUCUCAACACUGGGCGUAGCACUGCUCCAUGAGGCUUUUGAGAGCAUAUACUGAGGCAUGACCAAAAAAAUUAAGUCCCAUGUAAGUGAUGCAACUGCUCCCCAAUUACUGUGGAAGUAUCUGCAGACUAACUAUUGUGCGUGUGUGUUUGUUUGCUUUAAUGAAUAAAUUCAGUCAACCAACCAUCUAGCUAUUGACUAAAUCCAUUCUUUUUCUUCCAAAAUGUCUAUUGGCUGAAGUUUACUGGUUUUUAUUUCUAUUCGCAUACGUAAUUUUCUAAACCCCAUUCUUAUGGAACCUUCUCUAAGUUCCUCUCUAUGGCCCUGUCCAUGUUCAUACGGAUACACAUAAAGACACAAAUACACCAAACUAAGUUUAGAGCAGUCUGGUGCCUGCCUAAGACUUCAGCCUCAUCUCCUGCUUCUACCCUCUUUAGUUUAGGAAAAACAGGUAACGUUGCUGAGUGCCAAGUAUUGUGUUAGUAGCUUUGCAUGCAUUUUUUCAUUUUAUCUUCACAAGUUUCUUCUAUCACCAUGAUCUGUAUGUUUGACCAUGGUGUUUCCUCCACCUGAAAUUCCCUUGGUGCUCUGCCUGGGGAACUGUUACUCAUUCUUCAAAUCUCAACGGAAUGAUCUCCUCCUCUGGAAAGCUCUCCCUACUUCCCUAGGAAGAAGUAAUCCCUUCCUCAGUUCUGCUUUGAUUAUAACUUUAUAAGCACCUAUCACUCUGCAUGGUAUUAGUUCACUGUCAUGUCCAUUUCCUCUAUUGGGAUGUAAAUUGCUUAUGGGUAAUAAUUAGGCUUUGAAUCAUUUUAUGAUCUGGCCUAAGACAGUGCUUGGCACAUACUAUAGGCUCAUCAGAUGAUGGCUGAGUAGAAUUAAAUUGAAUCAAGUUGAAGUUAUACUUUGAUGUUUAUCAAUUAACAUGUGUAGUGUGUUAAAUGGUGGUCACUGAAAACAUACGUCUGCACCCUAAUUCCUGGAACCUGUGAAUAUAACCUUACAUGUUAAGAAGAAAUAUGACCUUAAAUGGAUAUGGAGACAAGGAGCUUAUCCUGGAUUGUCUGAGAGGGCCCUAGAUGCAAUCGCAUGUAUUCUGAUAAGUGGAGAGAAACAGAAGAGGAGGAUGCAAUGUGACCAUGUAGGCAGAAGUUUGAAUGGUGCAGCCACAAGCCAAGGAGCCCCUGGGGCCAUCAGAAGCUGGAAGAAGCAAGGAAUGGAUUCCUUCCUAGUGUUUGGAAGGAGUGUGCACUUGCCAACACCUUGGUUUGAGACUUCUGGCCUCUGGAACUGUGACAGAAUAAAUAUCUGUUGUUUUGAGCCACCCAAUUGUUGCUAAUUUGUUAAAGCAACCUUAGAAAAUUAAUAUAGCAUCCACAAUAAAAUUUCUCAAAAUAUAUGUUCCUGUGAAAUGGAAGAGUUCUAGGGAUCUAGUAGCAUAUACGGAACCCAGAUAAGUUAUACAAGUUUUUCCCUGAAAGUCUUUUCAGAUUCUUUAGCGGGCUAAGGUGCAUUGUGAAUCCCAAAAACUUUAGCGUUUUUCAGCAUCUAUUAUCACAUAAUCCUUUCCCCACCCAUGGAAUUAUAUACUAAACUGUUUUUGUAGAUGUUGAUGUUCUGUAGAACAGAGUUUUGGGGUCUGUAUGACUUAAGAUCCUUCUACAAUGGAACACAGUGAGGAGGGUAUUCAGAGGAGUCAUAGAGGGCAUUGAUCUUGCAAUAUAUACUCAGGAAAUUACCAUGGGCAG